AUGAACGCUAGCGGCAGGCCUAACACAUGCAAGGUCGAGGGGCAGCACAGGUAGCAAUACUGGGUGGCGACCGGCGGAUGGGUGCGUAACGCGUAUGCAACCUACCAUUGAUUGGGGCAUAGCCCGAAGAAAUUCGGAUUAAUACUCCAUAAUAUUCAUCAAAGGCAUCUUUUAUGAAUUAAAGCUUUUGCGAUCAAUGAUGGGCAUGCGUGACAUUAGUUAGUUGGUAAGGUAACGGCUCACCAAAACGAUGAUGUCUAGGGGUUCUGAGAGGAUUAUCCCCCACACUGGUACUGAGACACGGACCAGACUCCUACGGGAGGCAGCAGUGAGGAAUAUUGGUCAAUGGACGCAAGUCUGAACCAGCCAUGCCGCGUGCAGGAUGACGGCCCUAUGGGUUGUAAACUGCUUUUCCACGGGAAGAACCCUCCGACGUGUCGGAGACUGACGGUACCGUGGGAAUAAGCAUCGGCUAACUCCGUG
rnacentral:rRNA from 1 species